rnacentral:other from 1 species
UAAUGCCUGCGGUAUGCGUGUUAUUAUUAUUGUUUCAGAACUAAUUAUGAAUCGGAAGUCGAGCCAUUUGUGGCGCACAUGCCGGACACGAUCCGGAUUUGUAAAGCAAACAAGGUAGACCUCCACCCUUGUUCAGGGUUCGAGAAAACAAGUAGUACACGGUACCGCGGGUUUAAA